rnacentral:rRNA from 1 species
AUACGGAGGGUGCGAGCGUUACUCGGAGUCACUGGGCGUAAAGCGUCCGUAGGCGGUCGGGUAAGUCGGGUGUGAAAGCCCCGGGCUCAACCUGGGAAGUGCACCCGAUACUGCUCGACUCGAGUGCGGGAGAGGAUGGCGGAAUUCCCGGUGUAGCGGUGAAAUGCGCAGAGAUCGGGAGGAACACCAGUGGCGAAGGCGGCCAUCUGGCCCGCAACUGACGCUGAGGGACGAAAGCGUGGGGAGCAAACAGGAUUAGAUACCCUAGUAGUCC